GCCGCCCUCACAAUUUCCUCUGCUCCUGCUGCUUCCCUCCACCUCUCUCUCCUCCACGCCGUCGGGGGCGCCCCUCAAGCCCCACCUCGUCUGUUCCCCACCCCGAGCUCCUUCUCCCCCACCCCGGUCGAGCAUCGGAUAGGCAGAGGGAGUGCCUUGGUCGGGGGACAACGAGGCUCGCCGGCUGGGUGACUCCGAGCGCUGGAGGCUAGACAGGCACAGGCAGGGGUGGAUCCAUGUGGGGGCAUGGGUGCCGUCGCGCCAUCGAAGGCCUCCACGGCGCCCUCUAUCAGACGACGGGCGUGGGACGCCGCGGGAGGCGUGCCGCGUUCGAGAGCCACUGUGGAUUAUCUUCGAGGUGUCAGGCGACAUUCGCCUCGAGACCUACCUCCGGGUCUCUUCCCAUAUGCAUUGACGGGCGCGGGUAGCGGGUCAGGCUCACCGGCAAGGCGCCGCUUGCCUCUGAACUUGUGAUGUCCGGCCAUUGCAUCUGGGAGGAGCUCCUCUUCAGGAAGAAUGCCGAGACGUACGCCACUGCUGCGACUGCCGUUCUCGUCCACGUUUUGACUACACUUGCAGGCAACUGCGAAGGCAAAAUCUACAUGUGAGAAGUGCAGAUGAGCCCCGCUGUGCUAAUUACCUGUAUUCUGAAUUGGCUGCUGAAGUACAUAAGUGAAGUCUACUGGUGAAGGAGAUGUGAAGAAUGAUAUAGAGCAAGUAGAUAAAAACCGCAGUUGUUGGGCCCAAGGUAGGCUCCUUCACUCAGAGUAUAUGUUGGACGGUUUCUUGUUCGACAUCAAUUUCUGGUUGGAGAUUGAGCUGCAUUCCAGUUUGAUUAUGUGAUUAUAUCAAAUUUGUGCAUAUUAACUGAAAUGUGUAAUGCUACAAAGUAGAUAGGUUUUCCUAGCAUUUUACCACGGGGCGUCUCUUUUCUUUGUUUUCUGCCCCUUGUCUUGUACAUUCUCCAUUUAAUGACAUAUGGAUGGCUAACCAACCAAUUUU